rnacentral:lncRNA from 1 species
UGUUGCCAUUUUUGAGAGUGAUAGCACUAAGACACCAUUAUCUGAAAAGAAACAGACAAGAAUUUAUCUCAACUCUUUGCACAGGUUUGUUCAGACAUUGUAAAAAGCUUUGGGUUGUUCUGCUGGAGGCUCAGCACUUCGUAUUCCUCAGGUGCUAAGAGCACUGGCUGUUAUUUCUGCCAUGAAUCCUUUGAGCAGGAGCUUCCCAAGCCAGACCUGUAUCUGAUACAAGUUGUGAAUCUGCCUCAGAUGAUAGUGAGAAAACAUUUCCACCUAAUCAGAUGUGGAUUUUCAAGGUUUCUGACAGCAUUUCUGAACUGAUGCCGUGAGGCCAGAUGCUGUCAGAAAGUUGCUGAUGUGGAGCAGCUCUCCUGGCUUAGUGAAGUUUUUGUUCUUACGGCCUGAGGACAUCUGAUUGGUGCUGCAAAACACUCUAUAUGGUAUUUUGUAAUUGUUACCCCUUAGAAGAUGAUGACCUUCUAGACUCAUGUCAAGAUAUGUGCACCCACUUCUGUUUUUUAGUUAAGAUCCUCUAGGAACCAGGUUACCAUGAAUAAUAAUAAAUGCAAUAUUCCAACCAAGA